rnacentral:rRNA from 1 species
CCGAAUGGGGAAACCCACCCUUAGGGGUAUCCUAUACUGAAUACAUAGGUAUAGGAGACGAACCUGGUGAACUGAAACAUCUAAGUAACCAGAGGAAAAGAAAUCAAACGAGAUUCCCACAGUAGCGGCGAGCGACCUGGGAGCAGCCUGCAAGUGAUAUCAGCUUGGUUAGUGGAACGGUCUGGAAAGUCCGGCAAUAGAGGGUGAUAGCCCCGUACACGAAAACCUCGCUGUGGUACUAAGCUUGCGACAAGUAGGUCGGGACACGUGUUAUCUUGACUGAACAUGGGGGGACCAUCCUCCAAGGCUAAAUACUACUGACUACCGA